UUAUUCAGUGUCGAUCAGUAACAGAUAAUAUAGUCUCCUCUAAUAAGAUAAGCUGUUCAGAUAAGCUGGAACCAAAGUUCAGUAAAAGAUGAUUACGCCAAGUUUAAAAAUGCAAAUUUAGUGAUAGGAGAGGCUGGUCAACCAAAGCUUGUUGACUUUGAGGGUUAUUUCCGUUGACUUUCAUUUCAUGGCUGACGUCGAGGAGAACUUUUGAAACAGCUGUACAUUUAAUCAGAUUUUUCUGUGUUUUAUCAAAGUCUCGAAAAUUAAUCUAUUAUAUUAUGAUGAGAGACCAAUGGUCCUCCCCUUUUUACAAAUUAUGCAGACGAAAUGCCAAUUAUUUACUGCGUUGACAAUACUAGUUUUGGCAAUUCUAAAGAGGACUGACUGUGAUAACCCAUUCCCAGGAAUAAAUUCACAGAACAGAGAUAUUACAAAUGACACAAUAAUUUCUGCCCAAUCAACUAUGAAAUCACAACCUAAAGCAACCCAAGCUCAACUACAUGUAUUUAACAAUGCAAUAAUCAGAAAAAUUAAAAGAAAAAUACUUAGUCUUCCGGAUAGCUUUGAUGUGUUACCGGAACAUCAUAACAAUAACAACAAACAGAUAUUUUCAAAACACAAAUGGAUGAAACAUCAUUCUAAUCUAUUAAGAAGAUCCAGUUCUACUGUUUACAGAAAACGGUUUGCAAGAUUAAAACAUAGAGACAUAGAAAAUAAUUCUAAUCAGACGAUAAUUAAGAGAAAUGUGGUGCCAGAAACUAUAAACACAUCCAAAGCUAAUAACUUAGAUACUCAUAUUAAGUAUAAUAAGUAUAAUGAAAGUCACAUGCAGAAGCAUCUCCAUCAGUUAUAUAUUAAUAGACUUGUGGGAUUAGAAGCUGAAAGAGCUUACUUGUGUUUAGUUUUUUUAAUAUUGGUUUUAAUAGCAGCUGCAUGGAUGGCAGGAAUAUGUCGAGCACGAAAAGAUUCAUAUUGGAAUGUUGUAGACUUUGAACAAUCUCAACCAUUAACUACAGUAAAAGAUGCUAUAUUAAGGAAAUCCAGAUAUCUUCCAAUGUUUGCUGAUUUUUACAGAAAUAGGAUACGAAGAUAUGAAUACAUUUAGUGCAGUAUUAUUUUUACUAGAUCAAGUUUUAUAUUAUUCUAUACAUUAUAUUAUAUAUUUAAUUUUGUUGAUUGGAGAUGGGUUAUAAUUGUUUUGCAAGUUACAGAAUACCAGUAAGAACAUGUAUAUGGGGUUGUGCGCUAUAUAUUCCAUAUACUGUAUUUGCUUUAUUGGUAAUGAUAAAUAUAAUAUAUAAAAUGUGUCACAAAAAUAAUAACUUUCAAUUUUUGAUCUCAAUUUUAUUUUUAUAUGACAGUAAUAGAAUUUUUUAUUUUUUUCUGGAUAAAAGUUCAUCAAAAACGGUUGUAAUAAUUUUAUUUUGUGUUAUAGUAGUAUAGUCUUUGUAAAUUAGAGUUUCUUUAUAACAAAAUUUGUCAUUAGCAAUCAAUUGUAGAUUUGAAGAAAUAUGAAAUAAUGGUCUUAAGUGCAAUAGAAUGUCACUGAAGUAUGUCACAGAAAAAUUGCUCAGAAAUGUAAAGAAAUUGAAGUGAAGUUUUAUAAAAUCCAUUACAUAGUUACAUUUAAUAUCAUCAUUCAUUUUAAUCAUUACUGUAUUUUUUGUUAAUAGGAUUUCACAGAUAGCGUAGAACUUGUUUUCAAAAAUCUGGUUUAUCAUAACAUGCAUUUGUUUUUAAAAAAAAGCAGUUCUAAAGAGUUAAUAUAUUUAGCUUACAGACUGACAAUAAUUACUUACUAGUUUGCUAUGUAUAUAAAAUAGUAUAAGGCAGGUUUCAGCAUUGGGUUGGAGUCUGACUCCCAAUAUUGUAUAAUCAAGCCAUUGUUGUUAUUAUAAAUAUUUUACUAAAAUACAGAUAUACUGGUAGUCAUUAGAACAUGAAUAUUAGCUUUAUAAUAAAGACCAGGGAUAUUACAUUUUCACAAUUUUGCUAGAUGUAGAUUAUAUUAUUAUAAUGUUACUUAAAAAAAAGUUGACAAAUGGAUUGUUAUUUAAAUUAUACAUAUACAUAAAUACAUUUUUAUGAAAUAUUAUGUUUUUUGUACAUGCUAUAUAAAUCAUAUCCUGGAACAAGACCAAGUUCUUCCUGAAAACUUUAUGAGUGUACUCUGCAUUUAAUAUCCGUGGCACACAGGUGUGCCACGAGAUCUUCCUAAGUGUGCUGUGGAAGUUUGGACCGCACACUAAGAAAAGGCGAAAUACCAAAUGAUCCUAAUUGAGUAUUCACUGGUGUCUACUGAUAAGUUCAUAUCUGUGUUUUUCUUUAUUUAGUUCGAGUCCGUCCAUGUGUCUAUGACCAGUCUCUGUCUACGGUUGUAUGCAGGCUGACUAGCCAUGUUUUUAUUUUGCAAAACUCAAAUAUUUUUCAUAUGCAUUUAGCCAGGUGUGCCGCUAUGUUUUCAGGUUUUCCAAAGUGUGCCGUUGGCAAAAAAAAGUUUGAGAACCACUGCUCUAGAGAAUCCACAUUACCUUAAAUACUGUGUAUAAAUUAACUUUAGCCUCUAGAGCGUCCACAAGCAAUUGUGGACCCCUGACCGACCAAUGGACGGGUGAGAUGAAAUAAACGACCAUAUUUCAAUGUGGGUGUAUAAAAAUGAA